GCCUGGCUGGCUCAGUGGGUGGAGAAUGUGACUUUUAAUCUUAGGGUCAUGGGUUCAGCCCCAUGUUGGGUA
rnacentral:tRNA from 1 species